CAAGUCGAACGAGAUCCAUUCAGUAGCAAUACUGAUGAAGAUCUAGUGGCGAACGGGUGCGUAACACGUGAGGAACUUGUCCCGGUCUCUGGGAUAACAGUUGGAAACGACUGCUAAUACCGGAUGACGUCGGAACAUCGCAUGGAGUACUGACGAAAGGGUUACUGGAUCGGGAGAGCCUCGCGGCCUAUCAGCUUGUUGGUGGGGUAACGGCCUACCAAGGCAUCGACGGGUAGCUGGUCUGAGAGGAUGAUCAGCCACACUGGGACUGAGACACGGCCCAGACUCCAUACGGGAGGCAGCAGUGGGGAAUCUUGCACAAUGGGCGAAAGCCUGAUACAGCAACGCCGCGUGCGGGAAGAAGGCCCUCGGGUUGUAAACCGCUUUCAGAAGGAACGAAACUGACGGUACUUUCAGAAGAAGGUGCGGCCAACUACGUGCCAGCAGCCGCGGUGACACGUAGGCACCAAGCGUUGUCCGGAUUUAUUGGGCGUAAAGAGCUCGUAGGCGGUUCAGUAAGUCGAGGUGUGAAAACUUUGGGCUUAACCCAAAGCGUGCAUCCGAUACUGCUGUGACUUGAGUACGGUAGGGAGAGCGGGGAAUUCCUAGUGUAGCGGUCGAAAUGCGCAGAUAUUAGGAGGAACACCAGGUGGCG
rnacentral:rRNA from 1 species